CAAUCAUUUCUGUACAAGGACUGGGAACCAUAACACAAUACACUACAUGCUUUAAAAUAUGGUACAAUAGAUAAAUCUGUUUGGUUGCUACCUCCUUGAACAAGACUGAAGAUCUGCAAACCGUUGCCACUCCCCCCUUCUUCCUUUCCUCAUGUGCGACUCUCUCUCUCUCUCUCUCGUGGGGUUGAAGAGCGAGAAGAAAGAAUGAUGAUGACCGGAUUACACACUGUUGCUGAUGUUUUUUGCAUUGGGUGGGAUCAAUUUUGGGAUGGAAAUACGAGACUGCCCAUGAAAAGAGCCAAAAGUACAAGGAACGAAAAUCUGUCAUCAUGAGGCAGAGUUCUUUUGAACUUUUCAACAAAUGGAAAAAAAUUGCAGAAAGGGAAGGUUUUCCCCUUCUAAACUGAAAGGAAAACGUGUUAUUGAACUUGGGGCAGGAUGUGGAGUGGCUGGUUUUGGCAUGGCAUUGCUAGGAUGCGACGUAGUCUCCACAGACCAAACUGAGGUUUUGCCAUUGCUAAUGAGAAAUUGUGAGCGUAAUGCAUCAAGGAUCAUGCAAAUGAAUCCUGGUUCAGGUGUGCUUACAAGUUUCUGGUCUUUCCUUUUUCCUU